CCUACGGGAGGCAGCAGUGAGGAAUAUUGCUCAAUGGACGAGAGUCUGAACCAGCCAAGUAGCGUGAAGGAUGACUGCCCUAUGGUUUGUAAACUUCUUUUAUAAGGGAAUAAAACGAGUCACGUGUGCCUUUUUGCAUGUACUUUAUGAAUAAGGAUCGGCUAACUCCGUGCCAGCAGCCGCGGUAAUACGGAGGAUCCGAGCGUUAUCCUGAUUUAUGGGGUUUAAAGGGAGCGUAGAUGGGUUGUUAAGUCAGUUGUGAAGGUUUGGGGCUAAACCGUAAAAUUGCAAUUGAUACUGGCAGUCGUGAGGACAGUUGAGGUAGGUGGAAUUCGUGGUGUAGCGGUGAAAUGCGUAGAUAUCACGAAGAACACCGAUUGCGAAGGCAGCUUACUAAACUGUGACUGACAUUGAUGCUCGAAAGUGUGGGGAGCAAACAGGAUUAGAUACCCGUGUAGUC
rnacentral:rRNA from 1 species